rnacentral:lncRNA from 1 species
UUUUCUUUGACUUGAUUACUGCUUCAUGCUAAAGAAAAAAAUCCCUUCAAUUUAUCUUUCCUUCUCUGAGACCCGAUGAAUGACUAUUACCAUGUUAAAUCAUUCACCUGUGUAAAGCAAAGAUUUUUAUUUAUGUCUCUGAUGUUUGUUCUUUAAUAUCUUUAGAAAGACAUAAAAUUUGUAUUAAACUCUAAGUGGGGACUUGCACUGUAAACAAGGAUCGGUAGAUUUUCCCUUUCUUGUUUGCCAUAUUUAAUUCAACCCUGGAAGCCUGGUGCACGCAUCAUUUCCUCCUCAUCUCUGUUUCACUGUUGAGUGAAGUGUUCUGAAUUAAUUUUGUUAAAUUAUUAAUAGUUCAUGAUUGGAAAACAUUCAGCAUUGGAAUUUAUGUUUCAUCAUGCACUGCACAGCAAUUGGGUAGAUUUCAUACAUGCAAAUGGAUAUGCUUCUACUGGUUGGGUGUAAUGUUAGCUUCCACUCCAGCCUAUCCGCAAUGAAUUUUUGUUAAGACCAAAUUAAUAAUGAAGUAGAUAUUUUAGUUUUAAUGCAAUCAGGACAGUUUCCUGGAAAUCAAAUGAUUAGAUAUAGAGCAUGGAUUGGAUCAUUCAUUUUUUUCAACAGAAAUAUGCUACUUUGGAGGCUAAGGUGAGAGAAUUGCCUGAGCCCAGGAGGUUGAGGUUGCAGUGAGCUGUGAUCGUGCCACUGCACUCCAGCCUGGGCAACAGAGUGAGACCCUGUCUCAAAAACAAACAAAAAAAUGCCAGGCACUAACUAUGUGUUAGGCACUGGGAAUACAACAGGGUGUAAAAGAAGACAUGGACCUUGCUCCUAUGGAGUUUACAGUCUGGGAGGGUAGAUGGAUAUUUAUUAAUCACAAAAUCACCUGAAUAAAUGUAAAAUGACAACUUUGGUAGCUCUUACAAAAGAAGACAGAUAUGCAAGUGUGAACCCAUGACAAGGAAACCAACACUGUCUUCCCCGAGAAGUGGUGUUUGCCCUGAGGUGAAGAGGGAAUAUGAUUUAACUCAGGCAGGGCAUGGGGUGAAAAGAGAAGGACAUUUCAGGCAAAAAGAGCAACAUUUGCAAAUAUUCUAUGGCAGGAGGGAGCAUGGUACCUGAGGGGGGCUAAGGAAAAGUCAGUGUGAUUUGAGGUUGGGGAACAAUGGAGAGCCACUGAGGAGUUUCAAGCAGGGGAAGAAGUAAAUAGAGUUUUGGCAAGAUCAUUCUGGUUGCAAUGUGGGGUGUGGAUUGUUAGGAGACCAGGAUGGAUGUGGGGACAUCAGCAAAUAGGCUAUGUCAGAAGAGAUAGUAGGAAGGGGCUAGAUUAGGGCAAGAGUAGUGGAGGUGGAGAGAAGGAAUAAAUGUAAAGACAGUUACAACAUACAAAUGAUAGGAUGCUGACAGGUAAGGGGCAGAGAGAUUUCCUCAGAUUCUGGUGUACAUGAGGGUGCUAUUCAUCAGGGUGAAGAAACCCUGGGAAAGAACUGGGUUUGCUGGAGAAGCUCAUGUUUGCUUUUGGGCUAUUGCAUGUGAUGAGCCAAGGAAGUAGCUGAAUAUGUGAGUCCGGGGCUCAGAGGAAAGUCUGGAAUAGUAUAUGUACAUAAAUGUGGUGAGGUAGCCACAGGCAUGGGUGAGAAGAUGAGGGCCAAGAAUCCAACUUUAAGGAUCAAUAACAUUUAGUGCUAAGUAGAAGAGAAACCAAGGAAGCAAUGGUCAGAGGGAAAAAAGGAAACCAGGAAAGUGAAGUAUCACUGAAGCCAAGGAAAGAAAAUAUUUCAAAAAAGCAGGAGUGGCCAACAGUGUCAAAAGUAUGCCUAGAGAUGAGGCCAACAAAAAGCCUACCAGAUGUUGAGAAAUCCAUGGUUUAGUUAAUUUGACAUUGGAUCUUGGGGAAAUAAUGAUAUAAUGGUCCCUGGAGAAUGAGCUAGAUAUGUACUGUUGAGGUUUCCUCUCCUCCAUGAACAUGUCCCCUUAGAUCACAGAGAGGGAAGAUUACAGAGAUGACCCACUGGCAUGAAAAGCAGCAAAGUCCAUGCAAAUCAGGCUUUGGAGGCAGACAUCAGGUUGAAAUUCUGACUCACACUAUAUAGCUUGAGUAGAUAUCUUUAACUUCCAUCAUUUUCCUUUCUUUAUGUAUAAGACAAAGGUACAGGUAGUUGUGAUUAAAGAGAAAUAAAUUAAAAUUCUAGAAAAGUACCUGGACCACAGUAAAGGUUAAUAAAAAUUGUUCAACCAGUAAAUAAUGAUGACUUCAAGCUAGGAAAUGAUGAAGAAAUAUGAAUUUUAGCAGGAUGACUAUAUAUAUGUAUAGAUAAAAAUACAUAUAAAUAUGUAAAUAUGUACACAUAUAUACAUGAACAGUUUCAUAAUUGGAUGAAUGACUGCAAAGGAUAAUCACUUCUGUCACCUUAAAAGGGAGUUUCUAAUAGUGUGCCAUAGAGUUCUGUCCUCUGCUUCAGGUACUUUAACUUUUCCGUUAAUGUCUUUGAUGAGAAUAUAACAAAAAAUUUGUGAAGUGUAUAGAUAAGAUGAUAUGAACAUGGAAGUGAUAGUAAAUAUGUCCCAUGACAGAAUAAGGAGUGAAAACAAAAAUAAAUGGUCUGAAUGUGAUCAGAUAAAAAUUUAACAAAUGUAAGGACACAGUUCUACUCUUGAGUCAAACCAACUUCACAGAUUAAUCACCAUGCAAUUCAUGCAGGUUUUUGUAAGAGAUUUAGAGUUUAACUGGACUGUCAUUUCAAUAUACAGCCAUGGGGAGAGAUCACUGCCAAAAAAGCUGUGGCAGACAAGCUUGUAACCAACAUAAUCCACGUAUCUGUCGUCUUUUUGGGAACCAGACUCUAUUUCCCAACCUCCCGUGUGACUGUUUUGCUAGUGGAUUAUGAAAAGAAGUGAUAUGGGUUACCUCUGGGUCAAGGUAGUUAAGAGCUCUAAGCCUUCUUCAUACUCUUACUUUUCCCUCGACUUAGGGCUGGAACCAGUAGGGAACACUGAGUCUCUAGGAGGUGCCAACAUCUGGGUUCAUGAAAGACUCUGUGGAGCAGAGUCCCUCUCCAGCCUUUCCCUCUUGACCCGUGACCUCAGUCAACUGAUAAAUGAGCAAAAAAGAAAUCAUUAAUGCAUUAAGUCAUGGAGAUUUGAGGAUUGUUACCAUGGUGACCAUAAUUAUUCCUAGCUAAAAACAACCACUAAAAGUAAAAACAAAAAAAGUCUUCAGUUAUAUUAAUAGAACUAUGGUGCCCAGAUUAAUAAGAAAUGAUAUUCCAGAAGACACUCGUCCAGGAAGAUGCUAAACGACUUGACCAAAGUUUCGUAGCCUGUUAGCAGAAGUGUAGGCCACAUCUGUAGCAUAUUUAGUUUUUGGCUUCACACAAGAAGAAAUGGACACACUGGGGGAGUUCUUGGCAUACAGUCGGCACUUAAUAAAUAUCUGUCAAGUGAAUAAAUAUUGACAUGGAUAGGUUCAGUGGAAUGACCACAGGAGAGAUGAUAGCAUGAAUCCAGGUCCUAUUAAGUGUGGCUGGAGAAACUGGGAUUAUCCAGCUGGGAUCCAAAGAGACAGGAUAGGUAUCACAAACUAUUUUAGGAACUAUUUUUUGGAAGAAGGAUUGGAUCAGUUCUCUGGGACCCCACGAAGUAAAACUAGUACAAACAGGCCGAAGUUACAGUAAGACAUUUCUGUUCACUGUUUUGGCUUUGGAACAUAUGGAAGUCGCUCAUCAGUUUAUCCAAAGGAGAAAUGGCCCCUUGUAGCAUCGGAAUUGUUUAAGCAAAGGGUGAAUGACCAUCAGUUGGGGCUACUAUGGAGGGGAUUCAAGCACUGGAUGGAAUGCUGGAUAAGAUGCUUCUUAAGACUCCUUAUAGCCCUAUGACUUAUGCUCACAUGGUUCCAACUUAAACCUGAUUUAGAGAUAAUGUUAACAAAGGCAUUUAACACAGAGUCCUGUGGUGGGCCAUGCAUGACUUGUCUAUAGGGAGAGAAAAAGUCACUUCUAUCUUUCAAAUAAUUGCCAUGAUUCUGUGCCUUAUAGGACAGGGAUUAUUAACGUCUUCCACUAUCAUCUCCAAGUUGUUAAAUGUGACUCUGCCUGGUAAUUUUCUGUCAUGAAAACAAUAUUUACAGGAGGGCUUUUAAAACAAGUGGUCCUGAACCAUUGCAGAGAAUUUUACACUGAAACUUGGCUGAUUUGAAGUCUAUUGCCACAUCAAGUUGUGUUGUACUGUGUGCUCAUAAAAUGCCAGGAUCUCUGCCGAUUACAGACGCCUGCAAGAAGAUUCCAUUCCAAGCUGUUAAAGUGCUGCAGUCAAUAAAGACCUGGAGUAUGAGUCUACCUCUGUGCACCACACAGCUGUUGUCAUGCAAGCUAUUUCAAAUACCACUCUGGCAGACAAAGCUCUAAUUUGAGAGAAACACCAGAUAGUUCCACCUAAUAUAAUGAAAUCAGCAGGACUCAAGGCUCUUCACAGUCUCCUCAUUUGCUCUGCUAACAAAGGUUUUGCUGUUGUUCAGGAAGCACUCAUAUUCCCCCAGAAUGUGUUGAGUUCUUUGCUGGGCACGAGGGAUGCGAAGGUAUGUAUGACACUGAAGCCUUGCCUUGGAGGAGCUCACAGUCUAGAGAUGCUGAGAGAUUUAUCUGAAGGCUUAAUUCUGGGCUUAGAAAGAAUUUGAGGGUAGAUUAAUCAGGAACAUCCUGUGAACAGUUACUUAGCUUUGAUUAUCCAUUUCUUGAAUGUUUCUCUUUCUUGAAUAUAUUGUCUUGGACUGUGAAUCCCAUAGAUUUUUAUGUAGCUCAUUUGGGCACAGAAAAAACACUUGAAGUCCAAAGACAAGCCUUCCUUUAUUCAUGUUUCCCAGUGGGAUGCUCUGCAUCUUGGGUAUAUGUAUUGAUUUUCUCCUCACCGAGUGUUCCUUCCAUAUUUAAAAACAUUUGCAGCUGCUAAGGACUGAAUUGUGUCCCUUAAAAAUUCACUUGCUGAAGUCUUAACCCAUAGUACCUUAGAAUAUCAGUGUUUGGAGAUAGAGCGUAAAGAGGUAAUUAAGGCUAAAUGAGGUCAUAUGAGUGGGCCAUUGUUCUUAUAAGGACUCGUGUCCUUAUAAGAAGAGAAAGAGACAUCAGGGAUAUAUGUAUGCAGAGAAAAAGCCUGUGAAGACACAGAAGACAGUCAUCUGCAAACCAAAGAAAGAGGCCUCAGGAGAAACCAAACCUGCCAACACCUUGAUCUUGGACUUUCAGCAUCCAGGACUCUGAGAAAAUAAAUUUCUGUUGUUUAAGUCACCCAUCUGUGGUAUUUUGUUACAGCAGCCUGUAUUAGUUCAUUCUCACACUGCUAUAAAGGACUGCCGGAGACUAGGUAAUUUACAAAGAAAAGAGGUUGAAUUGACUCAGAGUUCCAUAUAGCUGGGGAGGCCUCAGGUAACUUACAAUCAUGGCAGAAGGGAAAGCAGGCACGUGGUGUCAGGUGAGAGAGAGUUUGCAAGAGAGAGCAGGGAAAACUGCCUUAUAAAACCAUCAGAUCUUGUGAGAACUCACUCACUAUCAUGAGAACAGCUUGGGGGAACCUUGCCCCCUGAUCCAAUCACCUCCCACCAAGUCUCUUCCUUGACUCGUGGGGAUCAUGUGGUUUACGAUUCAAGAUGAGAUUUGGGUGGGGACACAGAACCAAGCCACAUCAAGUCCAAGGAGACUCAUACAACAGCUACUUGUGCUUUAUUUUUGGUAAAGAUGCCAAAUUGAGCAGUUAUCACCAAAUUCUUCUCCAGAUUCUGUGCAUGGUACCUCCUGGCCCCCAACCACUCUUUCUGUCUCUAUAACC